UACGUAGGGGGCGAGCGUUGUCCGGAAUCAUUGGGCGUAAAGAGCGUGUAGGUGGGCCGGAAGGUCUGGUGUGAAAGCCCGGGGCUCAACCCCGGAGGGUCACCGGAAACCGACGGCCUUGAGUCCGGAAGAGGAGAGUGGAAUUCCUGGUGUAGCGGUGGAAUGCGCAGAUAUCAGGAGGAAUACCGAUGGCGAAGGCAGGUCUCUGGGCUGACACUGACGCUCAUGCACGAAAGCGUGGGGAGCAAACAGG
rnacentral:rRNA from 1 species